rnacentral:rRNA from 1 species
AGCGAACGCUGGCGGUAGGCCUAACACAUGCAAGUCGAACGGCAGCACAGAGGAGCUUGCUCCUUGGGUGGCGAGUGGCGGACGGGUGAGGAAUACAUCGGAAUCUACUCUGUCGUGGGGGAUAACGUAGGGAAACUUACGCUAAUACCGCAUACGACCUACGGGUGAAAGAAGGGGAUCUUCGGACCUUGCGCGAUUGAAUGAGCCGAUGUCGGAUUAGUUAGUUGGCGGGGUAAAGGCUCACCAAGGCGACGAUCCGUAGCUGGUCUGAGAGGAUGAUCAGCCACACUGGAACUGAGACACGGUCCAGACUCCUACGGGAGGCAGCAGUGGGGAAUAUUGGACAAUGGGCGCAAGCCUGAUCCAGCCAUACCGCGUGGGUGAAGAAGGCCUUCGGGUUGUAAAGCCCUUUUGUUGGGAAAGAAAUCCAUCUGGUUAAUACCCGGGUGGGAUGACGGUACCCAAAGAAUAAGCACCGGCUGACUUCGUGCCAGCAGCCGCAGUAA